UACACGACCGUACCGCAAACCGACACUGGUGCGCGAGAUGAGUAUUCUAAGGCGCUUGAGAGAACUCAGGAGAAGGAACUCGGCAAAUUGACACCGUAACUUCGGAAGAAGGUGUGCCUUUAGUAGGUGAACCUGUACAAGGGGAGCCCAAUGAGGUUGCAAAAAAUCGGUGGCUGCGACUGUUUAAUAAAAACACAGCACUCUGCAAACACGAAAGUGGACGUAUAGGGUGUGACGCCUUCCCGGUGCUGGAAGAUUAAAUGAUGGGGUGCAAGCUCUUGAUUGAAGUCCCAGUAAACGGCGGCCGUAACUAUAACGGUCCUAAGGUAGCGAAAUUCCUUGUCGGGUAAGUUCCGACCUGCACGAAUGGCGUAACGAUGGCCACGCUGUCUCCUCCUGAGACUCAGCGAAGUUGAAAUGUUUGUGAUGAUGCAAUCUCCCCGCGGAAAGACGGAAAGACCCCAUGAACCUUUACUGUAGCUUUGUAUUGGACUUUGAACAGAUCUGUGUAGGAUAGGUGGGAGGCUUUGAAGUGUGGUCGCUAGAUCGCAUGGAGCCAACGUUGAAAUACCACCCUGGUGUGUUUGAGGUUCUAACCUAGGCCCGUAAUCCGGGUCGGGGACAGUGCAUGGUAGGCAGUUUGACUGGGGCGGUCUCCUCCCAAAGCGUAACGGAGGAGUUCGAAGGUACGCUAGGUACGGUCGGACAUCGUGCUAAUAGUGCAAUGGCAUAAGCGUGCUUAACUGCGAGACUGACAAGUCGAGCAGAUGCGAAAGCAGGACAUAGUGAUCCGGUGGUUCUGUAUGGAAGGGCCAUCGCUCAACGGAUAAAGGUACUCUGGGGAUAACAGGCUGAUACCGCCCAAGAGUUCAUAUCGACGGCGGUGUUUGGCACCUCGAUGUCGGCUCAUCUCAUCCUGGGGCUGUAGCCGGUCCCAAGGGUAUGGCUGUUCGCCAUUUAAAGAGGUACGUGAGCUGGGUUUAAAACGUCGUGAGACAGUUUGGUCCCUAUCUUCCGUGGGCGCUGCAGAUUUGAGGAAGCCUGCUCCUAGUACGAGAGGACCGGAGUGGACACACCUCUGGUGUAUCGGUUGUCACGCCAGUGGCAUUGCCGAGUAGCUAUGUGUGGAAGAGAUAACCGCUGAAAGCAUCUAAGCGGGAAACUCGUUUCAAGAUGAGAUCUGCCGGGGCCUUGAGCCCCCUAAAGAGUCGUUCAAGACCAGGACGUUGAUAGGUCGGGUGUGGAAGCGCAGUAAUGCGUUAAGCUAACCGAUACUAAUUGCUCGUGCGGCUUGAUC
rnacentral:rRNA from 1 species